rnacentral:rRNA from 1 species
GACGAACGCUGGCGGCGUGCCUAAUACAUGCCAGUAGAACGCUGAAGCGAGGAGCUUGCUCUUCUUGGAUGAGUUGCGAACGGGUGAGUAACGCGUAGGUAACCUGCCUUGUAGCGGGGGAUAACUAUUGGAAACGAUAGCUAAUACCGCAUAACAAUGGAUGACACAUGUCAUUUAUUUGAAAGGGGCAAUUGUUCCACUACAAGAUGGACCUGCGUUGUAUUAGCUAGUAGGUGAGGUAAUGGCUCACCUAGGCGACGAUACAUAGCCGACCUGAGAGGGUGAUCGGCCACACUGGGACUGAGACACGGCCCAGACUCCUACGGGAGGCAGCAGUAGGGAAUCUUCGGCAAUGGGGGCAACCCUGACCGAGCAACGCCGCGUGAGUGAAGAAGGUUGUCGGAUCGUAAAGCUCUGUUGUAAGUCAAGAACGGGUGUGAGAGUGGAAAGUUCACACUGUGACGGUAGCUUACCAGAAAGGGACGGCUAACUACGUG